CGCGUAGGCGGCUCUGUAAGUCGAAUGUGAAAGCCCCGGGCUUAACCUGGGAAUUGCGUUCGAUACUGCGGAACUAGAGUAUGGUAGAGGGAAGUGGAAUUUCCGGUGUAGCGGUGAAAUGCGUAGAUAUCGGAAGGAACACCAGUGGCGAAGGCGACUUCCUGGGCCAAUACUGACGCUGAGGUGCGAAAGCGUGGGGAGCAAACA
rnacentral:rRNA from 1 species